rnacentral:rRNA from 1 species
GAUGAACGCUAGCGGCGGGCUUAAUACAUGCAAGUCGAGGGGCAGCACGGUUAGCAAUAACUGGUGGCGACCGGCGCACGGGUGCGUAACACGUAUACAAUCUACCUUAAACAGGGGGAUAGCCUUUCGAAAGAGAGAUUAAUACCCCGUAAUAAAUUGAACGGCAUCGUUUGAUUUUGAAAGCUCCGGCGGUUUGAGAUGAGUAUGCGUCUGAUUAGCUAGUUGGUGAGGUAACGGCUCACCAAGGCGACGAUCAGUAGGGGAUCUGAGAGGACUAACCCCCACACUGGUACUGAGACACGGACCAGACUCCUACGGGAGGCAGCAGUAAGGAAUAUUGGUCAAUGGAGGCAACUCUGAACCAGCCAUGCCGCGUGCAGGAUGACGGCCCUAUGGGUUGUAAACUGCUUUUGCCAGGGAUAAAAUUUCCAUGCGUGGAAAACUGAAGGUACCUGGUGAAUAAGCCACGGCUAACUACGUGCCAGCAG